rfam:Citrus clementina cultivar Clemenules unplaced genomic scaffold scaffold_7, whole genome shotgun sequence.
AGCCGUGUGGUGAGCACAGAGCGAACUAUUCUUUCGCCUUUUACUAAAGAAUACCGUGUGCUCGCCACUUUUAGCGGCAUACUCCAAUUUUUGGAGGAGCUUUACGAGAGUAAAGCU